GUUGCUGUCGAUUAGUGGUCAAAUCAUGUCGUUGUGGUUGUCACAAGAUUAAUUCCGACAAGCCCCAGGUUCGACUCCUGGCAGCGACA